GGCUCACUUUCAGCUGGAGUCUCAACAACAACCAGAUCAGAUCAACGAUAGCACACCCAGGAUAGUCAACCCAGGACAGCAGUUUCCUCUAGUAUCUGGCCCAUGAGACACCUCGCCUCUCUGCAAUAUGAAGUACCUGGUUCUGGGACUCGGCACACUGGCCUUGCUGGCAUCCAGCAUGGCACAGAAUUCUACAAUAGGACCAACAACCGACCAACAGAAUUCUACAAUAGGACCAACAACUGACCAACAGAAUUCUACAACAGGACCAACAACCGACCAACAGAAUUCUACAAUAGGACCAGCAACCGCCACAACUGCCACAACCGCCACAUGGCCAUCCACAGCAAAUUCUACAAUAGGACCAACAACCGACCAACAGAAUUCUACAAUCGCCACAUUGCCAACCACUCUCACCACACCAGCAGGAGGCAGCUAUGUCUUCAGUUACUCCAUGACUUUACUGUUUGGUUCGACAGCCAGCCUAAUCAUGCAUUCACUAUUACAUUGAGCGCCACAUAGAGGGCAAGAGUCACAUUGACUGCACUUUCCUGAGAGUGUUAAAGGCAUACUUUGGGAUUUUGGUAAUGAGGCCCGGUACCUACUUUCCCAGAGUCAGAUGAACUCAUGGAUACCAGUUUUAAGUCUCUGCGUGCGGUUUGAAUAAAGUUGCUAACUUGCGCAAUUGUUAACUUCCUUUCAGCUCAAUGACUGCUAACGCUAGUUGUUAACUAGCGCUAGCACAAUUGCUAAUUAGCGUUAGCGCAAUGACAUGAACACUAGUUAGCAUUGGCCUCGCAAAACUACCUCUAACUUCCUUCAUACUGGACUCAAAGACAUACAAAUGGUAUCCACGAGUUCAUCUGAUUCUGGGAAAGAUGAUAAAGGACACCAUUGCCAAAUCCUAAAGUAUCCCUUUAAAAACCGAAUAAGAGCGUAGGAGAACGAUCUUUUUCUCUGACAAUUUGUGUGUUUUACAAUGACCUGAUGGAGGUUUAUGUGUGCUCUGUGUAUUUCAAAAUGUAGAAUUAAAACACUGGUUGAUAGGGUUGCAAUGCCAAAAAUUGGUGUAUAUUAAUGUUUUAUAUUCAAUCAAGCGGUAAGUUCCUUGAUAUAGGUCUUUAUACAAAUGGUAAAUUAUUUAAUUUCUCAUUGUACAAAUGUUGAAAUGUACCCAAAUAAAAUAUUUUUUUUGUAUU